GGCGGCGGUGUGGCGGGCGGUCAAGAGCUAAGAACCCUGGGAAAGAACCCUCCAAACCAACCAAACCCCGCGUACGUCACUCGUGGGGGUGAAUCAGCUCAACUCGGCUGGCGCGCGGGUGACUUGGGUGGGCAGGCUCGGGCCUGACCACCGCAGACAUGCGUCGGCCCCCGCCGGGACUGCCAUCCCGGGGCGAGGGCCUGACCACCAGAGGAAGAUACGAGCUUCCCG
rnacentral:ncRNA from 1 species